rnacentral:rRNA from 1 species
AUGAUGUACUUUGCCGUCGACGCUUGCUUCAUUCAUGCAUCCACACAACCAAACACACGUACGCUACGCGUGUCAAGAAUCAAUUCAAUCGUUUGUGCUGCUGUUGCUGUGGCGUGCACGGAGCAUGCAUGCAUGGCUUACGAUGGAGGAAUCGCGGAUGGAGCGGCUGAAGGCGCGGUCGUGGGGGACGGGGCAGGGGAUGAGCGGCGAGCCGACGACGUUGAGGAAGAGCUGGAGCUCGGCGUUGGCGGCGGCGGCGGCGGGCCCGUCGGCGGUGGCGCGGUCGAACGCCUGGGUUUUGAGCCAGGCGCGCAUGUUGGGACCGCCGCCCCGGCGCUUGUCGGCGCCGGGGGCGUUGGCGAGCAUCUCAUCGGGGAUGGGCACCUCCAGCACGGUGUCCAGGGAGUCGUCGCGGUCAUUGUUCGGGCACAGCUUCCUCAUGACACGACCACCACCGCAUCAAUAAUGCCGACCGGCCAACGGGAGCAGGACGCCCGACAGACGGGAGAGUGGGAGGGAGAGAAACAGGGGGAAGGGAGGAAGGAACGAGAGGAGAGGGAAGGUCGGGGACAUGUAGGAGCAGGACGCCAUGCAUUGGAAGCGAGGAAUUAG